rnacentral:rRNA from 1 species
CUAGAGCUCCUUCACCUGUUUGGAGAUGCGACGGGACUACGCAUCAACCUCUUUAAAUCCUCGGCGAUCCCCAUUAGCUGCAAUGACAUAUAUGUUCAGGAUGUUCUGCAAAACUUCGGCAGCAUCACGGCGACCUUCCCGACCAGAUAUCUAGGGCUUCCGGUUACUUUAGGGUGCCUUAGGCUAGUCCACCUCCAUUUCAUUCUUGAUAGAAUUAGAUCGAGGCUUGCGGGCUGGAAGGGCAAACUCAUGCCACUGGCGGGCCGCCGUGUUGUCGUACGCUGCAUGCUCUCAGCCAUGCCGACCUUUGCGCUUACGACGCUGCGUAUACCCAAGAAAUUCUUCAAGGAUAUAGACAAGUCACAGCAGCAUUUUCUCUGGGCGGGAGAUGAAGAGAUAACUGGAGGAAAAUGCAAGGUUAGCUGGAGCAUGGUGACCAAGCCAGAACACCACGACGGUCUGGGCAUCCCUGAUCUCAGUCAUUUCGCCUGGGCGCUGUGUAACGCCCCGGAUCCGAUGCGCCAGGUGUCUGCCAGUUAUUCGUCGUCCUUGCCUUGUCAUCUGCUUGUGUGUUGCAUUUUUCCAUGUCAUCAUCUGCAUUGCAUCAUCAUGUUUUUCAAAACUUGCAUCCGGUCCUUUUCCCCGUUGUCCGUUUCGCGAUCCGACACUCUCGCGCGCGCCCGUCGCCCCUCUCAGUCCUUGUUUCAUGAGUGGGAGAAAAACAUUCUCGGAAUGGGUCGAGAUUUGCCGAGUGGCCUUGGUAUAGCACCGACAGACCGCCCGUCAAAUUUCGUUCCAUUUGGAGGUCGUUUGAUGCCCCAACGGUUAACCGCGUCAGCCUGA